rnacentral:misc_RNA from 1 species
AAGUCGUAACAAGGUUUCCGUAGGUGAACCUGCGGAAGGAUCAUUAAGAUAUUUAAUGAGAAGGACGAAGUCGAUAGACGUAGUCCUGAUCAUUAGAGAGAAUUAAAUAUUCUUUUUAACAAAAUGUGAAGAGUCCUUUAUUAGGUUGACGUGAUAGUCGAUGUAAUAGUCUACUGAAAGUCUACUGAAAGUCUACUGAAAGUCUACUGAAAGUCUACUGAAAAAGGAAUUACUACUACAUGAAUAUAUAUAAUACAUUAUUCAUGUGUGUGGAAUAUUACAUUUGUGUAUAUACUAAUGCACAUGUGUAAUAUAUAAACAAUAGAGUAUCAUCAGUGAGUUUAUUUUAAAUGUAUAUUAAUAUAUAUAAUAACUUUUAACAAUGGAUCUCUUGGCUCUU